rnacentral:snoRNA from 1 species
ACCCUUGAGUCUCCAUACCCAUCAGACCUAAACAGUCAUCUGAUUGGUUAUAAAAAGAGGAAAAGUAGAAUUGAAACUGACUUCAAUUUGUGACACAUGGGCUAGUUUCAAAUAAAG